CAAGGCGAGAUGAAGGCAGCGGGAACAGGUACAGCAGAUGCCGAGCGGCCUUGUUUGCCAGGGUGCUGCUGGGUCGGGUGGUGGUUUGUAUUUAAAUCCUGUGCUUGUUGUUUGCUUGACUUGCCGGUGCGGCCAGCUCUGUUUCUCCAGGGCUCCUGCCUUCCGAACUGUGCACGGGGCCCACCGGGGCUUGGGUUGGAAAGGAGUGGCCGGUGGCAGGGGAGCCAGUGGAUUUUGCUCUCUCCUUCUCACCCCUUGGAUUAACAUGCAGAAGAUGCGCCUGUCACUUAGCCUGCCAUCAGCGCCUGUUCAGGGAUGGGUGAUGGCUUUGUUCCGCGCUGCCUAGGAAGCCGUGCCAACUCUCUGACUUGGCAGUCGAGCCAGAGUGGGCAGGGUGAAGGCGAGGAAGGGAGAGAAUUAUUGCCGAGGCUUCCAAAGUGGCUGUAGGCCCGUUUCCGAGCACAGCAGCUUUUUCACUGUGCAUCUCUCGCUCGCUCUCUGUCGCAGGCUGGUGCAGACAAAACGAAAACGUGUUUUGUUCUGCUUUUUUUUGGCAUCUGCCUAGCUGCGUUACCAGCCCCAGCUGCCCCCCCCCACCUCCUACCUCCACUACUUAACCCCCUUUUAUUAUCGGCACACCCCCAGGUACUUAAAGGCAGCAAAAACCGAUUCUUCCUCUGCGGUAAGGUUUUUCGCUAUAGAUCUCUCUCUGUUUGGGUGUGUCUCAUUCUCUCUCUCCUGCUAAAGGACCCCGCCACCUCCUGAAAACCAGGAAGGAGGGAACCAGGAUUUAUUUUCACGCAGACGUUGGGCUGACAUGCUGGGGAGGUCGGGGCGGGGUGGGGGGGAGGUAAAAACUGGCCUUUUGUUUAACCUGUGUUGAUCUAAAGGAAGUUUUUGUCCUUUGGGGUGUUUUCAACUGGGCUUGGGUAACUUUUCUGAGCAUGGCUCUCGGAAGAGCAGCCAGAAUGGGGUUGGUUUUUUUUAUUUUUUGUUUUUUUAAAUUCGAGCUAUGUAAUAGAGAGAUUGUCCCAAGGGCACAAGGAAAGGCAGCUCCUGAGUGCUGGAAUUCCUGCCAGUGUCCCUUUGUGCCAGCCUCUGCUCGGCCUUUGGCGUCUCGUUUGGAUGAAGCCUGGCAUGAAGGCACCGCCCAUUUCUUAGCGCCGAGCUGUUAGGAGAAGGAAAGGGGAGAGAGAGAGAGAGAGAGAGAGAGGAGGAGGAGGAAAAAAAAAGCUGCCUCCCUCAAACUGGCCUUUCUCGAAAAAGGAUCCUUCCCCGAUGAUUGUCCGGAAAAGCGGAGCUAAAUCCAGUGGCUACUUCAACAACCAAACUAUUCUCCUCCACGAACCCACAUGGCCCACCUCCUCCCGGAGCUGUUGCCGCCAGGAUGGGCCAUCACGGCCCUGUGCUGUCCUUGAGGCUGAGGUAGUAGAUUGAAUAGUUGUGGAGUCCUACCCUCCCUUUGAGCUAACUAUACAAUCUACUGUCUUUCCUAAGGAGACAGUCAGGUCAUCACACAACCACCCCAGUGCUGCCAGUGGAGACGCAGCCAAGCUCGGGCGCAACCCUGUCCCAGGUUGGGGCUGUGGCACUCAGCAGGCCUCUGUACUGCUCUGUGGAGGUGAGGUAGUAGGUUGUAUAGUUUGGUGGGAGGGAUUUCAUCCCAUUUCAGGUGAUAACUAUACAGUCUAUUGCCUUCCUUAAAGAGCAGCAAAACAGCUUGAGGAACGGCCCAGCCACAGAUCUCCAGGAACAUCUCCUCUUUCCAAUGAGAGCUUCAGACCAGGAUGUGAACAACCUCUCAACGUUCUUCUCCUGCGGUGUCCAGGGUCCUGUCAUUCUGGGCCUAUCACUGAUCUCAGGCACAGGAAUAGAAAGCCAUCCGCUUCAAUUAAUGCCCAUUCAUCCAUUUCAAAAGCGUAAGGUGCCAGGGCAGCGAAAUCAUAGGUUAGGUGGUGCGUUACUAUUCGAUAGAGUCAUCAGAUGCCUGUGUUUAGAGCUCACUCUUUUCCAGGAGAUGAGACCAAGCUCAGAAGGAUUUGGACCCCAACUCCAGCCCACUCUUCCCCAGAAUUUUGGGGUGUUUGGAUACACUGUUCUGCUCUGGGUCUGCCCUAGAAAGUUCAGGACAGGACCCAAAGUUUGGGUUUGGAUCUAGGCAUCUAAUUUAAGACUUUUAUACAGCUGGGCCCAGCUGUGAAUGUUGGGUCUGGAUCUGGAUCCAGUUCCAAACUUAGCUAGUGGUUUGAAGGCACUGGGGACUGUUCUGGUUUUGGCCUGCAGGCCCCAACUCGCAGAGUUCGGAGCUGGAUUUGGAUCCAAGGGUGUGCCUUAACUGGGGUUUAGUAUUCCUGCCAAAAAAAAUUGUAAUUAAUAAUGAUAAUUCUCUAUAUUCACAUAAUUGUCCAAUCCCGUUUUGAAUCUUGGUAAGUUCUUGGCUUCAAUGACAUUAGGCUAGUGUUCAGAGCUAAAUGGACUCUAAUAACAUGUAGCAGAGUUGAGCAAAUAACUGAUUUUUUUGGUUUUUUGGCCAAAACAAAGAAAAAUUGUUCUGGGUCAUAUGAAAUGUUACAUUUAACACAGAUCUAUUUUCCUCGAUUUCUGAUUUUGUGACGUUUUUGGGUGUUUUUUACCCUUUAAUUUUUUUGUAAACCAAUCUAGCUAAAUUUCAAAAUGAAACCUUUCCAAAUGAAAAGUUGAAACAUUUCAGUUAAAAAAGAAUCAAAAUGAACCACUUUGACUUUUCAGAAAAAUGUUUGCCAUCGGUUUAAUCAGCUAAAACUGUUUGCUGAACUCAAGCUGAAUUAAUUGAUAGCUUUGGUCACCUCAAAACUGAAUUUUUCAGUGAAUAAACUGUUUGACUGAAACAUUUCACCCAGCUCCAGCUCAGAUGGAUAGCUAGCGGACAGUAGUUUGGGAGAUAAAUGACAACACAGAUAAUAAGCUGGGCACCUGCUGUAUUUUCAGGUGGUGUCAUAAAGCUGACUAGGAAACAAAGGUUAUAAUGAGAGAAUCAGAAUGUAAAUAGAAGGAAUCAUCAUAUAAAACCCAGACUAAGAGCUAUGAAGGGAGCUCCAGCUGUUUGGUUUGAAUCCCUGCUUCACACACCUAGGUUCUUGGUUGGGGACCAGAUGCUGUUCGAAGCCACAAGGAUAUUCAUUAGCUCACAAGAAAACUUGCUGUUCGCUAUUUGUAGUGAUGUUCGAUAUUUGGUUUUGACUUAGUUGGAGAAUUUCACUGAAAUUUUGAAUUCUAAUAAAAUAUGAAAAAUAGGAA